UCGGUUCCGGUUCACGCUCUGCGCGCAUGUGUUGGGCGACCCGGCGACC
rnacentral:ncRNA from 1 species